AGCAGCCGCGGUAAUUCCAGCUCCAAUAGCGUAUAUUAAAGUUGUUGCAGUUAAAAAGCUCGUAGUUGAAUUUCGGGAUCAGAUUGUUGGUCGUGCCUCGGUACGUACUGGCAUUAUUGGUUCCUACCUUCUGAAGAACCGCGAUGUCAUUAAUUUGGUGUCGUGGGGAAUCAGGACUGUUACUUUGAAAAAAUUAGAGUGUUUAAAGCAGGCGCACGCUUGAAUACAUUAGCAUGGAAUAAUGAAAUAGGACGUUUGAUUCUAUUUUGUUGGUUUCUAGGAUUGACGUAAUGAUUAAUAGGGAUAGUUGGGGGCAUUAGUAUUCAAUUGUCAGAGGUGAAAUUCUUGGAUUUAUUGAAGACUAACUACUGCGAAAGCAUUUGCCAAGGAUGUUUUCAUUAAUCAAGAACGAAAGUUAGGGGAUCGAAGACGAUCAGAUACCGUCGUAGUCUUAACCAUAAACUAUGCCGACUAGGGAUCGGAUGAUGUUAAUUUUAUAAUGACUCA
rnacentral:rRNA from 1 species